GUGGGGAAUAUUGCACAAUGGGCGCAAGCCUGAUGCAGCCAUGCCGCGUGUGUGAAGAAGGCCUUCGGGUUGUAAAGCACUUUCAGCGGGGAGGAAGGCGAUAAGGUUAAUAACCUUGUCGAUUGACGUUACCCGCAGAAGAAGCACCGGCUAACUCCGUGCCAGCAGCCGCGGUAAUACGGAGGGUGCAAGCGUUAAUCGGAAUUACUGGGCGUAAAGCGCACGCAGGCGGUCUGUCAAGUCGGAUGUGAAAUCCCCGGGCUCAACCUGGGAACUGCAUUCGAAACUGGCAGGCUAGAGUCUUGUAGAGGGGGGUAGAAUUCCAGGUGUAGCGGUGAAAUGCGUAGAGAUCUGGAGGAAUACCGGUGGCGAAGGCGGCCCCCUGGACAAAGACUGACGCUCAGGUGCGAAAGCGUGGGGAGCAAACAGGAUUAGAUACCCCAGUAGUCC
rnacentral:rRNA from 1 species